UACUGAUGAUGCUGACCG
rnacentral:siRNA from 1 species